AUUGAACGCUGGCGGCAUGCCUAACACAUGCAAGUCGAGCGGAUGAAGGAAGCUUGCUCCUGGCUGCAGUUACGGACGGGUGAGUAAGUCCUAGGAAGCUGCCUGGUAGUGAGGGAUAACGUACGGAAAGGGGCGCGAAUACCGUAUAGGUCCAGAGGGAGAAAGGGGGGGAUCUUCGGACAUCACCCGUUUAGCUGACCCUUAGACGUAUUAGCUAGUUGGUGAGGUAAGGGCUUACCAAGGCGACGAUCCGUAGCCGGCCUGAGAGGAUGAUCAGCCACACUGGAACUGAGACACGGUCCAGACUCCUACGGGAGGCAGCAGUGGGGAAUCUUCGACAAUGGGCGAAAGCCUGACGCAGCCACGCCGCGUGUGUGAAGAAGGUCUUCGGAUCGUAAAGCACUUUUAGUUGGGAAGAAGGGAAGUAAGUUAAAACAUUCAUGUCUUGACGUUACCAACAGAAUAAGCAACGGCUAACUUCGUG
rnacentral:rRNA from 1 species